UUUUUGUUUAUAAAAAUAUUUAUAUAAACAAUAUAUUUUUUUUCGUUUAUAAAAAUAUUUAUAUCAACAAUACAUAUUUUUCUCAUUUAUAAAAAUAAUUGUAUCACUAAUACACUUUUUCAUUUAUAGAUAUUUAUAUCAACCAUAUAUUUUCCCGCUUAUAAAAAUAUAAUCAAAUCAUUAAAUUAAAAAUAUUUUUAUUUUC
rnacentral:lncRNA from 1 species